ensembl:snRNA Gm25793 predicted gene, 25793
GUGCUCACUUAGGCAGCAUAUAUACUAAAAUUGGAACUAUACAGAGAAGAUUAGCAUGGCCCCUGCACAAGGAUGACACACAAAUUUGUGAAGUGUUCCAUAUUUUU